AAGCAUUCUGGCAAUCAAUUCCAUGGAAAAAAGAAAGGGUUAUAAAGGAAUGCAAACGACAAGCAAACAUAUCAGUGUAUAUAGAUAUAAAUUCCUUUUUGGAAGACCCUUGGGAAGAUCUAGUCAAAAAAUUUAAUUCAAAAGAAAUAAGCAAAAAUGAAACAUCUAAGAAUGAAUCUCUGUACAGUUUAAAAUUGACAGAUAAUGAUCUUGUAAAAAAAUCAGAAUAAAUUUUCAAGAGAUAAAUUUGGAUGAUUCACAGUGUAGUAGUCAAGAGACUAAAAAUGAUCAGACACUGAUCAGAAAAAUAUAUAACAGUAAAUAAAGAAGAACAUUUAUAUUAUGAAGAGAAAUAAUACUAGACAAAAAUACAUGUAAUAAUUGUUGCUGUACAGAUAUUCAUGAAUUGUAUAUAGGUAUGUAUAUAAGUACAUCAUAGAAAAAAUUCAAUGUAUUAAAAUUUUUCGAGAUACAUUUUUUUGGAAACAGGUUAGAGUUGUGAAAUUAUAUUCAAAAUGUAUGUGAAGCAAGCUAACAUUAUCUUAUAGAUUAUAUAUUUUCACAAUUUGACUGUGACAAAAAGAUGUAUAAAUAUGUAUAUUUUAGACUUAUAUAGUUAUAUGUGCAAUUUUGUAGUACAUAUGAGUCCACUAAGAAUACAAGAACUUGAGGAAACAGUAAAGAAUCUUAAGACAGAAUUAUAAAAAAAAAGCAUAUGUGAGAUUUGAAAUUUUAUUAAGAAGUAUAGAAUCUCUGUUCACUUUUUAAAUUCAUCUUUUAAGUUAUUAAUUUUCGAAGUUUACUUAAAAUAUCAAUUUUGAUACUUGAACAUAAUAGGUACUUAACACAAUAGAUACUUGAACACAAUACUAUUUUGGUCGUAUAAAUGUUACAUUAAUUUUUUCUAUUCUUAUUUAGCAAGUUUGUAAAUAUAUUCAGUAUCAAUCUUAUGGUUAAUAUUUACAAAAUUUUUGUAAAUUCUGGAUUUAUAAGUAAGCUAUUUAUAUUGGAUAUAUCCAUCUUUUUAUAUGAAUAUUUCGAAUUUAAAGUAUAUUAUUUUCUCAUUUAAUAUUAGAAUAUAAUUAAAACUAGUUAUUUAUAUAUAGU